UAAAAUACGAGGAUAAAAAAAUAAAAUCACAUAUUUUUAAGUAAAGUGUACAAGAAUGCGAGGCUUACCGCGUAUGUCUAGAAUUUUUCAUAAAAAAUGGGCUAAAAAUCAAAAGCUACAAGCCCAUAAUUGUUUUUAAUUAGGUAUCAUGUCAAAAGCAAUUUAACGUUUCAUGACCCAAUAAUA